GAAGAACCAUAACUAUAAACAAUGGUUACAGAAAGAGAGAUAAUAAUUGUUUGAAUUCUUUUGUCUAAGAUUCCCAGGCUCAGCCUGGGAGAAGUUGUCUCUGUUCUUUUUUUUGACUGAACUGAGAAUAUCCACACCUCCAAGGACAGAGACUACACAGCCCUCUGGUCAACUACACCACUUUUCUCUGGUGAUUUUUUUUUCCUUAUGUCCACACUUUACCUGCCAUGAUUCAUGUGCUUCUGCCAGGUGUGGGUAUGAAGAGGCAACUUCCAUCUUCUCAGUAACCAGAGCACAGGUAUGGGCAGGUUACUAUUGCAAUCAAGGCUUUUCCUGUUAACAGAGUACUUGAAGCUCUACUUGUGUUUGACACCACUUGCAAGUAUCAACUAUAGGUCCCAUACACCAAAGCAGUAAUAAAGAACUAAUCUGUCCUUCAUCCUCACCAUUUGCACAUCUAGAUGAUGAGGAGGGGAAAUUUCACCUGUAAGGCUCAAGAAGAAAAAAAUGUUUGUAAGUUGGGGAUAUUUUGUUGUUGUUGUUGUUUCCACCAAACACCCUUUCUUUCCGCUGCUAGAGAAAGAGACUUAUUUCUGGCUAUCUUACCUACAUGUGGAUUCUGAAUAUGUUUCUAUAGUGGAAGAAGUUCAAAAAUAUAUUUUAAGAUACAAAAAUUUCAUAUGAUUCUGAAUAUAUUUAAUUUUUAUCUUGAAAUGCUACAAGAAUGUAGAUUUCUUUAUUUCAGAGGAGGCUUUCCUGUGGUUUGGGUUUAUUGGGCUUUUGUACCCUUUUUCGUUUUAGAUAUGGUGUUGUAAAAAGCUACAUAUUUAAAAAUGGCCUACAUACUGGUUGUUAAUGCUGCACUAUAUUUCAGCAACUCUAGAGAUAACUUCCUUUCCCUAUAGUAAUAUGUAUUCUUUAGUUCCACUUUCCUUUAGCAAAGUGUACUUAGACUAUGCAUGAUCACUAAAAGAAACAGAAAACAGCUAUUUCUUUUUUCUGAAUGCUAGAAUAAUUGACUCAGACACUCUUUUGAUUUGCAUCUUAUAUUUAAUAAACUAGGAGGCAUCAAAAAGACAGUAGUUUCAGGCACAUCAUUCUAUAUUUCUGCACCAUAAAUGAGAAUGACACCAUCUUUUCAGAAUUUGUUUUUUUAUUUAAAUUCUUUUAUUCAAUUCUCAUAUUUAUUUUAUUCAAAAAAUGUCCUAUAUUUUUGAAGUAUUUUAUUUAUUGAUGUACUUUGGAUAAAUAUUAUCUUUUCAUGCACAAAACUGCUGUUUCCCCAACCUUAACACAGACAUUAUAUACACCUUUAGAAGCCAGUAAAAUAGUCUUGGGAUUUUGUCCAAGACUUUGUUCUUUGACAUUACUGCUCUUCAGGAUUUUGUGGUUGUGUUUUGGGGUUUGAAUCUGAGUUGUUUUUCACUGUUUUUUUUUUUUUUUUAUUUUACAUUGUUCUGCAGCUCCUUUCUUCAGUAGAUCUUCAGCAAAUAUCUCUAUUUUGCUACAGAAAUAAUUUUUCCUCUUUUUCUUCAUUUCCUGUUUUUCUCUUCACUUUGUGGAAUUUUCAAACACAGAAAUGACACAGAUACAUUCAGUCAUUAUAAGUUAUUAAAAAUAUCUCAAAUAUGAUCAAGAAAGCAUAAAACAUGUCCAUUCCAUUUUCUUGCUUGUUUGGUUUUGCUAUAUAGAGAGAAAAUAUUUAUGUUUUAUUACUCUUUUGGUUUUAGUGUACUACUGUGAAGAUUAAAAUAAAAUAACUUAAACCACUUACCAACAACUCUCUGCAGUCCUAGUUCCAGUUAUUAAUGAAAUCAAUAAAG